GACUCCAGUCUUCCUUUAUGCUGGUUCAUGCAGCCUGUAUGAACUGCCAGAUGAAAGCAACUCAAUAGCCUGAGUUAUCUAGAAUUACAUUUCAAAAACAUCUCUAUGUUUCCUCAGGGGAGGAAGGGAAACAGGGACCAGGGCACAAGAGGGCAUAGAGUACCCUCUAACUACAUUCUACCUUUUCCUUUGUAUAAUUUGGCCUAUGGUUUCCUAAAGGAUUUUCCCCAACCAUGGUCAGCCCUGUAGAUGGAAUCAUCUGAGGGGAGUUGGAUGACCCUGCCCCAAUCUCUCCAAUUGGCCUGAAAUUCUCACUACUUGAACUUUUGGUUUUGAAGCCAAUAUGUUUCCAUUGAAGGUCAUAAUUAGCCAUUAUCACCUGAGCUUCCAUUUGGGUUAUCUCGAACUCCCUGGGGCCUGAAAAACAAAAGUGACAACUUUUGAUAGAAAAGAUAGUAUCUGGCCAGGCUUGGUGGCUCACACCUGAAAUCCCAGCACUUUGGGAGGCUGAGGAGGGCAGAUUACUUGAGACUAGGAGUUCAAGACCAGCCUGGCCAACAUGGCAAAACCCUGUCUCUACUAAAAUUACAAAAAAUUAGCCAGGUAUGAUGGCAUGCACCUGUAAUCCCAGCAUCCCAGCUACUCAGGAGGCUGAGGCAUGAGAAUUGUGUGAACCUCAGAGGCAGGGGUUGCACUGAGCCAAGAUCAUGUUACUGCAUUCCAGCCCAGGGGGACAAAGUGAGAGUCUAUCUCAAACCAAACCAAACCAAAAAACAGGAUUAAGAAACUACUGCCUUGAAAGGACAUCAUGAAGACUGUACUUUCAGGGAUCAUUUCUAUAGUUUUGAUACUAGAAAAGUUUCUCUGAAUGUGUAGAGCACCAACAGAAACUGGACCCCUUCCUUACACCUUAUAUAAAAAUUAACUCAAGAUGGAUUAAAGACUUAAAUGUAAAACCCAAAACCAUAAAAAUCCUAGAAGAGAGACUGUGCCCACCCCAUGAUCACAGAGCCCCACCCUCACCGCUCUACCCCGCCAGUCCACAUCCACUGCCAGCUCACCAUGGAUGAUGAUAUCGCUGCACUUGUAAUCGACAACGGUUCCCACAUGUGCAAGGCUGGCUUUGUGGGCGACAAUGCUCGCUGGGUUGUCUUCCCCUCCAUCGUGGGGUGCCCCAGGCACCAGGACAUGAUGGUGGGGAUGGGUCAGAAGGACUCCUAUGUGGGUGAUGAGGCCCAGAGCAAGAGAGGCAUCCUGACCCUGAAGUACCCCAUCGAGCACGGCAUUGGGAUGACAUCGAGCAUACCAACUGGGAUGACAUGGAGAAGAUCUGGCACCACACUUUCUACAAUGAGCUGCAUGUGGCUCCUAAGGAGCACCCUGUGCUGCUGAUGGAGGCCCCCUGAACUGCAAGACCCACUGCGAGAAGAUGACCCAGAUCAUGUUUGAGACCUUCAACACCCCAGCCAUGUAUGUGGUCAUCCAGGCUGUGCUGUCCUUGUACGCCUCUGUCUGUACCACUGGCAUUGUGCUGGACUCCGGUGACGGGUUCACCCACACUAUGCCCAUCCAUGAGGGUUACGCCCUCCCCCAUGCCUCUUUCUGGACCUGGCUGGCUGGGACCUGACUGACUACCUCGUGAAGAUCCUCACCGAGAGCGGCUACAGCUUCACCACCACAGCAGAGUGAGAAAUCCUGCAUGACAUCAAACAGAAGCUGUGCUAUGUCACCCUGGACUUCAAACAGGAGUUGGCCACAGUGGCCUCCAGCUCCUCCCUGGAGAACGGCUAUGAAAUGCCUGACAGCCAGGUCAUCACCAUCAGCAACGAGCGAUUCCGCUGCCCUGAGGCACUCUUCCAGCUUUCCUUCCUGGGCAUGGCAUCUUGUGGCAUCCAUGAAACUACUUUCAACUCCAUUAUGAAAUGUGAUGUGGACAUCUGCAAAGACCUGUAUGCCAACACAUUGCUGUCUGGCGUUACCACCAUGUACCCUGGCAUUGCCGACAGGAUGCAGAAGGAGAUCACUGCCCUGGCAUCCAGCACGAUGAAGAUCAAGAUCAUUGCUCCUCCUGAGUGCAAGUACUCUGUGUGGAUUGGCGGCUCCAUCCUGGCCUCGCUGUCCACCUUCCAGCAGAUGUGGAUCAGCAAGCAGGAGUACGCCGAGUCCAGCCCCUCCAUCAUCCACUGCAAAUGCCUCUAGGAAGACUGUGACUUAAUUGUGUUACACCCUUCCUUGACAAAACCUAACUUGCACAGAAAACAAGAUGAGAUUGGCAUGGCUUUAUUUGUUUUUGUUUUAUUUUGUUUUGUUUUUUGGCUUGACUCAGGAUUUAAACACUGGAACAGUGAAGGUGACAGCAGUUGGUUGGAGUGAGCAUCCCCCAAAGUUCUACAAUGUGGCCAAGGACUUGAUUGUACAUGGUUCUUUUUUUCAAAGUCAUUCCAAAUAUCGUGAGAUGCAUUGUUAUAUGAAGUCCCUUGCCCUCCCAAAAGCCACUCCACUUCUCUCUGAGGAGAAUGGCCCGGUCCUCUCCUGAGUCCACACAGGGGAGGUAAUAGCAUUCCUUUUGUGUAAAUUAUGUAAUGAAAAAAAAUUUUUAAUUUCACCUUAAUACUUUUCUAUUUUGUUUUAUUUUGAAAGAUUUUAGCCUCUGUGGCUAUCCCCAUUUUGUCCCUCAACUUGAGAUGUAUGAAGGCUUUUGGUCUCUCUGGAAGUGGGUGGAGGCAGCCAGGGCUUACCUGUACACUGAUCUGAGACCAGUUGAAUAAAGCGUGUGCGCGCACGCGUGCACACACACACACACACACACACACACUCCCUAGAAGAAAACCUAGGCAAUAGGAAAUGCCAUUCAGGACAUAUGCAUAGGCAAAGAUUUCAUGACUAAAACCAAAAACAAUUGCAGCAAAAGCCAAAACUGGCAAAUGGGAUGUAGUGACACUAAAGAGCUCUCUGUACAGCAAAAGAAGUUCUCAUCAGAGUGAACAGGGAACCUACAGAAUGGGGUGAAAUUUUUGCAGUCUCCUCAUCUGACAAAGGUCUAUCCAGAAUCUACAAAGAACUUAGAUGUACAAGAAAAAAUCAAACCACCCCAUCAAAAAGUGGGCAAAGGAUGUGAACACACUUCUCAAAAGAGGACAUUUAUGUAGUCAACAAACAUAUAAAGAAAAGCUCGUCAUCACUGGUCAUUAGAGAAAUGCAAAUCAAAACCACAAUGACAUACCAUCUCAACACCAGUUAGAAAGGUGAUUAUUAAAAAGUCAGGAAACAACAGAUGCUGGCAAGGCUGUGGAGAAAUAGGAAUGCUUUUAUACUGUUGGUGGGAAUGUAAUUUAGUUCAAUCAUUGUGGAAGACAGUGUGGCAAUUCCUCAAGGAUCUAGAACCAGAAAUACCAUUUGACCCAGCAAUCCAAUUAGUGUUUAUAUACCUAAGGAAUUAUAAAUCAUUGUACUAUAAAGACACACACACGCGUAUGUUUACUGCAGCACUAUUUACAAUAGCAAAGACUUGGAACCAACCCAAAUGCCCAUCAAAGAUAGGCUGGAUAAAGAAAAUGUGGCACGUAUACACCAUGGAAUGCUAUGCAGCAGUAAAAAAGAAUGAGUUCAUGUCCUUUGCAGGGACAUGGAUGAAGCUGGAAGCCAUCAUUCUUAGCAAACUA